UCCCCUCGGCCUCCUAAAGUGCUGGGAUUACAGGCAUGAGCCACUUUGCCCAGCCAAGCCCCUUUGUUUUAAUGGGUCAGAGGUUAGAACAAUUUAGGAUCUACUGAUAAAUCUGUCUGAGAGAAAAAAAAUGUUGGCUUUUAGCUUUAUUGUAGGUGCUUGAUAAAUGUUUACAGAAUAAAUGAACAUCGGAGCUAACACAGCAUACAUUGCAUAGGUACUGUAAGACCUGCCUGAGAACAGGGCCAGGAGCCACCCCUUGGCAUACUCUACGCCUGUCACUGGGCCCAGCAAUCACAGAACUCAGAACAUGGAUGCAAUUAAAUAAAGAAAACCUCUGUGAUUCUCUGGUGCUGACAACACACUGGAAUGCAUCUACAGCUCCAGGGCCGCCAUUUUGUCCUAAGAGGAAGCCAGCUUCCUCCCUCAGGAAAACUAGAGACAAGGACAUAGAAAUAGGAGAUGAAGCCGAUUUGAAAAGCCACCAGAGCUCUGAGAGGAGUGGUACCCAUUCUGUGUCACACCGUCACCGUUCUCACCUGUGGCUGACUGCAGCACCUGAAGCUCGACCAGCUGCAGUCUGUCACCAACAUGAAGUUGCUCCUAGAGCACUUUGUUCCUUUAAAAAUGAUAAAAUACUACAAGCACGCAGGACUAUAGAGAAUAUUGUCCCUAUGUCUCCAUAUUUGCUUCAGCUGAUGUUUUAAAAGACUAGAACAUUGUUAACCCUUGCCUGUGCCAUUUCCUGCCCUCUCCCUGCUCUUCAGAAAUUGGUAUUUAUGUUUCCCAUGAAUGUUUUUAUACUUUUACUACACAUGUAAGUAUCCACACAUAAUAGAUGAUAUGGUUUUGCAAGCUUUCAAACUUUACAUAAAUGAUGUCUUACUGUACCCUUUGCAUGUUUUUCAUUCACUGUCGUAUUUCUGAGGUUUAUCGCUGUUGAUACAAGAUCAAUUUCAUUAUUAUCUAUUCAUUCUUUUUCUGAUGGGUGCUAAGAUCGUGUCGCAUUUUUUACUGUUAGAAAUCACGCUACAACAUUAUUUACAAUGUAUGUUCUGUAGCCAUGUCCUUAAACACAGGUGUUCGACUCUCUGCGAUCAUCGCGGCCCUCAGACCUGCUCCUCGCCUGGACUAGGCUCUGCUCUGGGGUCACCCUUCCCCAGCAUGCAACUUGACUCUUGAAGACCAAGUUGCACUUGAAGACCACGUCUUACACCAGAAUUCUCCCUGGAUCAUCCUUGUCAGGGAUUCCUACCCUACCUUGCCACCCACACCUGGCCCCUCCUAAAAGGAAUGUUCUUUGGCAGGAAUGAAGAGCAUGUGCUCGGUUGUAGGGUGAGGAGACCUCAUGUGAGUGGUCAGUUUUAACUGGACCUCAAAGGAGGCUGUUUCCAGAGGCAAGGAGAAAUGGGCGAGUUUUCUUGGCGAAGGGGCAGCAAGAGCCAGCAUAGGCAAAGGAACGUGGCAGUGUCAGGAGAGGACCAGGCAAAGAGCUGGCCAGCAGAUAGAAGCUGAGUGCUGCUGGAGAGUAGGAGGCUGGAUUAGUAACAUGAUGUGAACUGAGGAAGUUAAAGGUUUGUCUCCUCCACCAGAUCACUGCAUUUUAGCUUUGUAGAAGGAAGUGGCCUGGAGACCCUGAGGAGCAGAAACAGUGGCUCACUCCUGUGCUUCUGUGGUCCGUUUCCUCACUUUUCCCCUUCCGUCAAGUGUUGAGGCUCUGUGGAGUUCAGCUUCCUCUUCCCUCCAUCACUCACAUCCCACUUCCCAUCACCGGCUUCCAUGCAAGAGAACUCCAGGUUACUGGCCUCGGGCAGCAGUCCAGCUGUUACCAGUAAACCGGAAGCUGACGUCACUAACAAGAGUUCAGGGAGCACUAAGAGGCAGACCAGAGGUCUCCUAAGCUUGACUCCUCUUCGGCACGAGACUAAGGAAGCGCCCCAAGUGCCAGUCAGAGGUGUGGGAGACCAGCUUGUGUGUGUGUGUGAGAGACAGGGGAAGGCAGGUGGAGUUAGGGAGCUCUUUCAGCUUAGCUGGGCUUCGUGAUUUCAAGUGAGCCUCUGCUGGGAGAAAUGGGUUUGUUGUUACUGAAAGAACAAGUUUGGGUCUCAAGUUUUCUUUUGCCUUAUUUGACAGCUCAUAAAACUCAGCAGCAAAUCUGAACUUCCAGCUCCACGGCUUGGAGGAAGAAGCCUAGGAAUAGUUAUCGACUCCUUCCCCUGUCCUUGGCUUGACCUCCCUCCCUCCCUCCUUCUCACCACACCAUUUAGAAAUCAUGAAGACAAUCUGUUCCCAAGAGCAAGGGUGGAGGGUGGAAGGCUGGCUGGGCUGAUGGGACCAACGCUUGUCAGAAAUGAACAGGCCCAUGCGACAGUGAAGACAAUGCAGAGGGAAAGAGCUUUUGGCUUCAUGCUUUGACAAAGUGCCCUGAGACUGUAUGUGCAUGUGUGUAUUUCUGUUCGGUAAAUCCUGGAAGGCCAGUGCAGUGGGAGAAUCCAUAUGUUUUCAGCCUCCAAAAUGUGCCAGGUAGUUAUAGUUGACAGUGGAGUAUGUGAGAAACUAUACGGUACUGGCCUCAUUCUUCAUGCUGCCACUCUGGCCUUUGACUUUGGAGUGGGGAAUUUCUUAAAUUCACACAUCCCUGACCCCUUUUGUGGGUGACCUAGGGCCUGGCAUACACUGUACAAUUAACAAAUGUCAGCUGAAUGAGUAGAAUGAAUAAACAAAAAAGAGUCAUUGUGUAA